ensembl:miRNA Mir5620 microRNA 5620
ACGAGGCAGGGGCUUUGACUGUGACAAAAUCACUCACAGUCAUCCCCCUGCCUCAC